rnacentral:rRNA from 1 species
CAGUCGCCGCGGUAACACGAGGGGAGCUAGCGUUGUUCGGAAUUACUGGGCGUAAAGCGCGCGUAGGCGGCUUUUUAAGUCAGAGGUGAAAGCCCGGGGCUCAACCCCGGAAUUGCCUUUGAAACUGGAAAGCUGGAAUCUUGGAGAGGUCAGUGGAAUUCCGAGUGUAGAGGUGAAAUUCGUAGAUAUUCGGAAGAACACCAGUGGCGAAGGCGACUGACUGGACAAGUAUUGACGCUGAGGUGCGAAAGCGUGGGGAGCAAACAGGAUUAGAUACCCCGGUAGUCCCUGUCUCUUAUAC